rnacentral:tRNA from 1 species
UCCCCAGUGGCGCAAUCGGUUAGCGCGUGGUACUUAUAAUGCCGAGGUUGUGAGUUCAAUCCUCACCUGGGGAA